UAAAGUGCCUCACUGUGAGUAGACAACAGAAAUAAGUCUCAGGUCAUAUGGCUCUGAGGUAUUUAAUUCACCACUGACUUACAUCCUUUUAGAUCUCAUGUUUGUAAUAUUUCUCAUCGGAAAUGUCCUAUAUUAAAGAGUACUGAUAAGUUUUCUAAUUUAUUUUGAGCUUAACUCUGCAAAGAUGCUAUCAGAUUAUAGAAUAGCCUGGUUAUAUUUAAGGCAUAUUAGUUUUUUUAAAAUUUAUAAAAUCAAUAUAAACUUUAGCAGCAAAGAAUUUAGGUUUUCUCUUUUUAAAGACAACAUAAAUAAUGAAUAAUUAUUUUGAGUGGGUGAAGAAAGGAAAGAUAAAAGAUUCAGAUAAUAAUCUUAAAUUCCUCCAUUUACUCAUUUACAUUCUUUGUACAAUUAUUUUCCAUCUCCACUGUAUUUUCCAGAUUUAAAAAAAGUUAAAAAUCUUAUAAAAUAUUCACAAGCCCUUCCUCUUCCCCAUGACAUUUAAAAAAAAUGUACUGAAAAAAAAAGAACUGCAAGUUCUAAAAGCUGAUUCUCUAAGUCAGUGGUUCUAAAAAAUGUUAGCUGUUAGUUUAUUCACUAUAAAAUAACCAGAGUGUGCUUAAGCCUCACCCAGGAUUUACUGCUUCUUAUGUCUUGGUGACUGAAUGGGCAUAUGUGUCAAGGUGAGAAGAAAGAGGACUAUCCAGUAUUUGCUCAUCUAUCUAAUCCAGCUUCUUCCUAGUUUCUUCUCUCCUUCCUUGCCUCGUUAUACUUUCCCAGGCCUUGAGUAUGGACUUCUUCUAUGUAUUUCCUACCCGCUGGGGAUUCUAGAAACAAGUUCAUGUUGAAGCUGCCUGGUCAUUCUGGACCAAGGCUCCUGAAAUUCCAAAUCUUAACUUGAAAGAAAUACUAAACAAAUACCAAUUUUAAAGCAUAUAUAAAUAAUCUCCCUCUAAUAUAAUAGCUACAAAAAUGUACUGACUAUGUGUUAGGCAUGAGCUAAGUGCUUUACAUAUAUUAUUAGCUGCUAUCACCUAUUAAAAAAUAACCCAAACACAAAUAUUUUUCCAGAAGCAAGUGGAGGUGGGGAGGGUGGUAUUAUUCUGAUUCUGACUUCAUUCACUUUUUUUGAUAAACUGACUUUUUAUUCUCUAGUAACUGGGAAUGAGUCUCUCAAAAACA